rnacentral:tRNA from 1 species
GGCUACCUAGCGCAAUGGUAGCGCGUUUGGCUUCGAUUGCUGAAUGGUACCAAAAGGUUGCAGGUUCGAGUCCUGCGGUGGUCA